rnacentral:SRP_RNA from 1 species
GCCGGGUGUGGUGGCGCAUGCCUGUAAUCCCAGCUACUCGGGAGGCUGAGGCAAGAGAAUUGCUUGAACCCAGGAAGUGGAGGUUGCAGUGAGCUGAAAUCGUGCCACUGCACUCCAGCCUGGAUGACAGAGCAAGACUCUGUCUCAA